UCUGUGUUUCUCAACUGGGAAAAAUAGAGUUGUGAUUAAGGGUUUAGCCGCGACUUUUUCCUCUCCUUUCAAUUUACAAUUGCUUCGCACAUCAAUGAUAGAGGAAGUUUUCCCUCAACCUCAUCUGUAUCAAUUGUUCAUACGUUACGAAUUAGAAAAAUCCCCAUUAACAGCUCCAUUAUUUCCGCCAGUCAAUCCCUGGAGAUGUUCAGCUACAUAAACCUCAAAAAAGGUUGUCUUCCGAAGGUUUUCAUUUUCUUUGUUCACCGUACUCUCUCAAGAUUACUCGAUCACUACUCUGGCAUAUUUUGGAUUAGCAUCCAUCUCAGGUAAAUUGAACUACCCAUUUUUGAUUGUUGUGUUUCUCAAAUUUAAGUGGCAUGUGACUGUUGUUUUCUUAACAAAAUGUUGGUGAAGAAAUCCCACUGAAUGAUUGUUGGGUGACCCUUUGAUAAUGAUCAUUUCACCAAAGUCUAUGGUUGUUGUGUUUCUUAGUUGGAAACAUAAUAUUGUGGUUCUUAUAAAAGUCAAGUUUUAUCUUUUUGUUUGUAUUAUGUUUCCAUUGGUAAUUGUUAUGAUAAGAUUACAGGCUCUUAAUGAGACAUACUCGGAGUAAGAGAUCAAAGGUAUAUUGGGCCAGUCGUACUCUGAUAUUGCAGUAGAGAUUGAUCUCUAAUCCUUCAUUUGAGACAAACCCUACUUCAGUGAAGACUGAUGAGGAUGAUGAAAUACUUGAACUAACCUUCAUUGCAUAUGAAGAAUGUGUGUUACCACCAUUUUGUUCCAUACUUCUUUUGAGGUGUACUAGAUUUUAUCUGUGUGUUCCCAUUUGUGUAGUUAUUGGAAAGUGAUUACAAUGUCGUACUGGCAAAGAAGAAAACAGUGAGCAAGCAAGCUUCUACAACCCCAAAAAAGGUUUUCUUCGAGAUCCCAAGAACAGUUCAAUGCAAAAUUCUUGGAAAUAAACACGAAGACUGAGACUUUCAUUUGGUGGUACGGUGUAAAGUCUGAACAAGGUAAUAAUGUUAAGAAAAUGAUAUUUUUGCAUAUUUCUUUCGACAAUUCAGUGCCGUUUAGUUUCAUUAUUAUGUGGGUAUCUCACAACAGGUAAGUUUUCCUAUUCAUAAAUCUGAUUAACAUUCCAAAUUAAUGUUGAGUAGAGGUUUAAUUUUUAUGCAAUAGCUUGGUGUAAUACAUCCCAAACCUCUUUUAUGUUCUCCAAAUCCUAAUUUGUUACAGUGCCAAGAAAUUUGUGCUUGAAUUUCUGUUUCAAAAUUCUGGAUUACAAUUGUAAAUUGUGCUUCUUGGUGUAAUUUUUACCAUAGCACUCCAAAUGCAGGAAAGGAAAAUGGCAUCCCAGAUCAUAUGCUUCCCUCCAAAAAUGUCUCAAUCUACUGUUCAGUAUAGAGGAAGGGAAAGCAUCUCUAGGAAGUGAGAAGACACAAUAGAUAUUCCACAAGUUUUUGUAAUUUUUCAUAUUUUACAAGCAAGGGAUAUAUUGCAUUGGUAACUAGGUAACUACUGCUCUUUAAACAUUAUGAGGACUUAUCAAACGCAAAAUUUUCUUUAUUUGAAAUACUUCCCAUUACAUCUAUAUUAACACGGUUCUAUUGAAGGGUCUGUACCAUUAAUUUAGAGUUACAUGUAAUAUGCAAUGCAUAAACAUUAGUAUGAAUGUGAUAUAAGAGAAUUAUUAACCUUUAACAUUGCAGUGCAAAUAUUUAUCAACUGAAAUUAUUUCUUUACCCAUGCCUAUGAUCUUCCGUCCAGGUAAUACAAUGGAUCAUAUUAAUUGGUUAUUAUUCUCAGUGUUGUCUGAUUUCCCUUUGUGGAAUUUCUUUUGAAGCCAAAUUUUACAGAAAAAGUGCUCAUGUUUCCUUUUUGAUAUGUCAGGAGUGUUAUUUAUACUAUGGAUCCCAAAUAUGCAGUAAAGUAUUAUACAACAGAGUAUUCUCUGAGUCACUACUAUAGCUCCUACUUUGAGCUUCUAAUGAGGUAUUACAUUUGUGCAGUCCACUGAUAUUACAUGUUUUUAACCUGUCUAGAAUGUUGGGUCUAUGUUUUGUGACAUAACAUAAACUUUUUUUUUUGUUGUAAUUGCAGCAUUAUUAUAGUAUGCAUUUACAAAGAAAUAAUAAUUAUCCUCAUGAACCUGAAAUUGCAGACAGAAAAGCUAUUAUAAGUUUUCAUCUGCCACUUUCAUAUGGUUGCUCAUUCAACCUGUGAAUUUGUACUAACUGAAUUAUCAAUCAUGAAAUAGAAAUGUUUUACUUUGACAUCAUUGUUGAUGAGAAAUAGUGGAUUUAUGCAUUUGCCUGCUAAAUCAGUGAAGUCUUGCAUUUUUUGGAGGUGCAGAGCUCAAAUCUAACCUAAACAAAA